rnacentral:lncRNA from 1 species
UUACAUUUAUUCUCAUGUAAGUUAGCUUUGAGAAAAUUUGACAUAUUGUAGCAGUCGAGGUUUGUGAAGUCUUAACCACUGCCCAAGAUAUUUGUUUUGCCAUUUUGUAUUCAUGUUAGAAAUAUUUAAAAUAUACUACAUUCUUUCGUGGCCUUUUACCAUCGCAUCUACAUUUCAAUUGACAUGAACUUCUGUAAUUGCAUAUGAUUUUGUGUAUAUAGCGGAAAGUUUCAAAACAAAGUGCAGUUGCAUAUGAUUUUGUGUAUAUCGCGUAAAAGUUUCAGAACAAAAUUCAUCUAACAACUGACAACUCAAUCCAGCGCAAAAAAAAAAACAACUGACAACUCAAAAACUAUCCCCUCGCAGAAAAAAAAACAACUCAAAAACUAUCAGUGAAGCCCAGCUCAAGCAUCAACAUCUCUGGUCUAAGAAGAGAACAAGAGCUUCGCAAUUCUGUGUCCAGACAUCACGUAUGCAUAUAUCAACUAGAUGUACCUUCUCCUUGCAUAAACUACUUUGCUACGAAUCAGGUCUUGGGACAACUUAUCAAAUAAUACUAAAAUACAAAAUAGCUAAUUAAUCCAUGUGGCGCGGCGUGGCGGCGCGCACUACCCGCUAGUAUGUUUUAGGGUGCAUGGAAUAGUACACAAACAAAACAGGAUGACACAAGAAAUUCCACCCACAUUUAUUUCUGAUUGGUACAAACUAAAAAGACUCAACUGGCCGACGUAAAAAAAGAACACACUCACACCACACACACACACACACACACACACAAGCAAAUAAAAGCAAGCAAGGAGCAGGUGAACAUCAACCGCUUGAAACUAACAUGCAAGAAGCACACAUAUUAAACGAACUAGAGGUCGAGACAUCCCGCGCGUGGGCUACCAUGCUUGAUCACGUGGACUAUCAGUGGCUGAUCACGUGGGCUAUCAAUCGCCACCUGACAUAUUCCUCAUGCUUGGAUCUGGAUCUAAUUACAUUCCUCAUGUCUAAUUAUAUAUAUUCUUGGAGUUCGUGAUAUUCUAUAUCUGUGCAUGAUGACAAAAUCUCUGCCCAUUGCUUUGGAUCGUCCCAUUUAUUUAUUUUAUCCCGUCAGAGGAUAACUGUACGACCCACGCUCUCUUGUGCACCGUGGUCGGGGAUGCGCUGCGUCGACUCGCGUCUUCCAGUGCUGGAGCCGAGGCUGUCUAGGAGCGCGCUUGGCGGCGGAGCUCAAACGGGCGUGAACAGGAGGCGGCACGCUGGACGCCGGAGCUGUCGAGGUUGGCAGUGGUGCUCGGCGUGCUGGCCGAGGCGGCAAACUCCAUCAACGGAGAUGAGAACACUGGUCGUCCGGUUCAAGAAGGCAGGAGAACAGAGCCGUGGCGGGGAUGGUUUCGCGAAUGUCGGCGGCGGGCGCCCGAGGUCAAGGACGCAGCCAUGGCCCGAUGGCCGACGAUGGACACCGGCGGAGCGACAGCAAGGCCAGAUGAGAGAAAAAAAUACGCGUUCUUCUUCAGCUCGACCCAUCUUGCCCUGUCCAAUAAAUUUUGGGUAGCUCCGCCAUUUAAUUGAGAGAAAAUUUCUUAUUUGAUACUACUUUAAAAUGUGAUUUUCUAUUUAGCUGUGGAGAAAAUUGCUUCCCUUCUUGACAAUCUAGUUUUAAUUUCUUUCCCAAUAUGACACCCGAGUGCAUUGUGUUCACUAACGGUGUUAAAGACAAACAUGAAAAGACCUUUUUAUCCCUAAUGCAUAAGGUGACUAAAACUCUAUACAUGGCAAUAUCUAUGAUUAUGUUACAUAUUUGGUCAUGUCAAAUGACCAAUUGAGAUCUUAUAAUUUUGUCAACGAACUGAUUUCAAUCCAAAAACCUUUGAUUUUAAUUUAAAAAAAAUGAAAAUUGGGCAGAGCCGUAAUUUGAUCCCAGAUCUCUCUCUCUCCCUCUCUCUCUCUCUCUCUCUCACACACACACACACACACAAUAUGCAUCACAACAUGAACAACUACCAGAAACAUCCAUGUUCACACAUACAUUACAUUUAGGUUCACAUUCAUCACAUAAAUCAGUACUAGUUCACAUGCAUCGCAUACUGUUUCACAUAUAAGGUCAAGUCCACAAGUACUCCCUCCGUUUCUUUCUGCUUUAUAGAAAAAUAUGAACAUGUACAAUACUAAAACUAUAUAGUAUGAAAAUACGUUUCAUGAUGCAUCUGAUAAUAUUGAUUUCAUAUUGUGAAUGUUUAUAUUUUUAAAUAUAAAAUUAGUCAAACUCUACAAAGCUUGACUUUGACCAAACCUUAUAUGCGGACUAAAAAGAAACGGAGGGAGUACAUCACAUUAGCAGCACAAAAAAAACUCCAAAAGUAACCAUGACAUUAAAAAAAACAUAUGUAAAUCACACGCUAAGCCUUCUUUUGCUUCUUGUGCUCAUUGAAGGGCUUGUAAGGUUAAAUAUUUUGCUUCUUGUGCACAUGACCGGCCGGAGAACGGAGUACUGUGUCACGCAGCGCUAUCAAGUCGACCAAUCAGGUCGAAUCACACGGAUUGUGUGCUUCUUUAGAACGGUGUGAGCCGCUGGAUUUUGUAUAGAUAACAUAUCUAGGAAAGCUGUGCGUGUGUUUAACUGAGAUAUUAACGCUGCUUUUGGCUGAGAGGAAGCACUUGUGGUUGCAUGCGUGCAUUGGUUACCAACACAGCUUAGGUUAAAUUAACAAGCUAGAAUAUAUAUAUAUUGGGUACUGCCUCCAUCCUGAUUUAUUGAUCCUAUUGUAUUCGUGUCAAUUUUUUUUGAGAGUAUGCUUAGGUGUACAAUAGCUUUAGAGAAGGCAAAAUUUGAAUUACAAGAAACAACACUCACUGCGAACAACGAGUAUAGCACAACACCACACCCGAGCAACAACACCGCAAAGCAAGCUACAACACAAAGGGCCUAUCCUAAUCGAAACUCAACACCGCGUCUCGAUCGACGUCCGACACCUCCAAAGAACACCAACUUCCGCGGAGCUUCACUUGUCGACGCACCAUCCACUCUUAUCGCCUAAGAGGAAGUGGCAAGUGGGUGACAGGACUCGAUCCGGUUCGAGGAAGGCGCCGUCUUGGACACACCGGCGACGAGUGUAUAUAGCGCCGCAGAGGAUCAAGGAGGACAGUUGCAAACACCGGAGGAGAGUGACAAGGAGACGGCCAUGUCUCCAAACACAAUGCUCCCAGCAGAGGACGCCACCAUUGUGUCGAUCCAACCGAAUCGAGGCUUUCGCCCGGAGACAGCCACAACUCCAAGUGAGUGUGGGAGGUGACAGCACGCCUCCACGACACCUCCAAGGAGUGGAAUGGCAUCCGCGACUGUGUCAAAUUUUGAUCAAUGAUUUAACUAACAAAUAUUAAUGAAUGUCAUCAAAUAUAAUAUCAUCAGAAACUAUGUUGAAAUACGAAUCCAAUGAUAUAAUUGUUGGUGACAUGCAUGAACAUUUUAUUAGUUAAAUCUUUGGCCAAAAUUUGGAACCAAAUACAUUGAGGACCAAUAAAUUAGGACGGAGGUAGUACUAAGUACCUUUUCAAGAGAUUUUAUUUUUUAUUUUUAUAUAUGGCGCUCAUAUAGGCCGGCACAGGUUCCAUUUUUUCAAGGUCAUGUUUUUAUAUUAUUUUCUCCAUUUGGGAAAAGAAAUGAAAGAAAAAAAUAGUUGCCAUCAAACUUAAAUAAAGUAUUAGUUCAUUUAAAGGAAAAUGUUGAGCCUGUUUUUGGAAACUGCUUCACGUGUAUUACAAGAUUGUACACAUAUUUUUGAAAACGUUUCAUGUGUAUUAAAAAAUAGCAAGCAUGUUUUUGAAAUGAUUCACCUAUAUUAAAAAAUAUCAUAAAAUUAUGUAUCUUCAUUUAGGACCACAAGCACACACAGUUAUUGUGUAUUUUCAGUGCAUUCUUACAGUACGCAAUUAUUGAAAAAAGGCAAUGUUGUAUUUUGAAUAUUCAACAUGUAUUUAAAAUUAUAGGGUAACGCUAUUCUAAGUGUGAGCGUAGAAUAGCUUAUUCUACGCCCCCUAGUAACACUAUAUACAAAAUCUAGUAAAACAGUGUAUAAAAUAUAGUAAUUCAGAAAAUAUUUAUUUUACUACCCAAGUUUAUAAUUUACUACAAUUUUACGAAAAUUACUAUUUUUUCCAUAGCAUGUUACUAUAUUUUGUAUGUACCGUUACUAGGGUGGUUAUUCUACACUCACGCUUAAUUUAGUGUUACUAUAAAUGUAGUUUUAUAUUUCAUAUAUUAGGUAUUCUAGAUAUAAAAUGUUUUUUAAUUUGACUUUUGGAAAAAUUCAUAUGCACUACAUUUUAGAGCGGAGGGAGUACAAUUGUAGCUCAUUAAUCUACGAACGGAGGGAGUACCACCCUAGCAAAGCUUGAAUCUGGAUGUACUUAUAUUCCUCAUGUCUAAUUAUAUACAUUCUUGGACUUCGUGAUAUUCUAUAUAUGUGCAUGAUGACAAAAUCUCUGCCCAUUGCUUUGGAUCGUCCCAUUUAUCUAUUUUAUCCUCUGAGAAGAUAAUUGUACGACCCACGCUCUCUUGUGCAUGCAUUCCAUUGUGCGUGUAUAUGUGGAAAAAAAGCUAUCCUUGUUUGAAUACGUGUAGUAUGGUCACGUACUGUCGACCGAUCUGGAUGGUUGUUGAUUCCGACCGACUACCUCCUAUUUUAUCAGGAUCAUACCGGAUCUAUCCCGUACCAUACUGUUCCUGACAUUAUCAAUCCGUCUGUAUGCCUGCCUGCACACAUAUAUACUACUCCCUCCGUAAACUAAUAUAAGAGCGUUCAAAUUACUACUUUAGUUUACAGAGGGAGUAGUUAAUAUUCUUUCCGUCUCAAAAUAAAUCUAUUGGUAGCUUUGGUCAAAUUAGUUGUUUCACCAGACUUAUACAAAAAACUACUAAUAUUUGGAUUAUCAAAUUAACACUGUUAAGUUCAAUAAUACUAAUUUAAUUUCAUUAUUUUUUAUUUUUUUUCUAUAAGUUUGGUCAAACAACUAGUUUGACUAGCCCCUAAAAAAACUAGCUUGACUAGAGUUACGAAUAAUAGGCUUAUUUUGAGACUAAAGUGGUACUAAGUAUCUCAAGACAUACACAUACUAUACAACACUUAUACACACUAUUAAUGAAUUCAUCAUGGAAAACAUAAUAUUAAUUAAUAGUUAUGUCGAUCGUUUCCUUUUAUCUCUAACCAUAACUAAUUAAUAUACCCCGCAAAAAAACUAAUUAAUAGUUAUGAAGACAUACACUGUAAGGCCUUCCCUUCCAGGAAGUCUGAAUUAUUGCAUACUAGUCCCUGGAACAGUAGCUGAACAACUCACAAAAUAGCAUCAUAAUCAUACUUUGAAUAUAAUAUAGGACCAAAAGUCACUUACAUUAAAAAGGCUCUCAAGCCUGAAAAGAGUACAUUGCAGCGGCGAAGCAGACAUCCCAUGCCUACAGGCAGGGGCGGAGCCAGGCUACAGUGAAUAACAGUGAUCAACAAUGUAAAAACGCUAGUAGGUAAAUCCNNNNNNNNNNNNNNNNNNNNNNNNNNNNNNNNNNNNNNNNNNNNNNNNNNNNNNNNNNNNNNNNNNNNNNNNNNNNNNNNNNNNNNNNNNNNNNNNNNNNNNNNNNNNNNNNNNNNNNNNNNNNNNNNNNNNNNNNNNNNNNNNNNNNNNNNNNNNNNNNNNNNNNNNNNNNNNNNNNNNNNNNNNNNNNNNNNNNNNNNNNNNCUCCGCCACUUCCUACAGGCAGCUUGCACUAGUAGGAAAAGUAGCGUGCGUAAGCCCUGCACCGCUCGAAGCCCUAGCGUGUCGUGAAGCACUAGCUCUUGCGCAGGACCUUAGCAUCAACCGUAUGUGCAUUGCAUUGGACUGUCUGGAAGUGAUCAACAACCUUUCGCAAUCUAUCUUAUUGUUUUAGAGAUCAAGACGAUAAUAUCCUCUCUUUUUUUUCAUUUGAGAAGGCGGUGUUUUGACAUGAAAGAAGAGCUCCAAUGGAGAAGCCCAUCGAGUGGCUCGUAGCAGUGUAAGCCAAGGAACUGAACGCCGUCCGUGGCUCCUGAAUCCUCCGACCGAUUUGUGUAUUCCUAAGGAUAUAUUAUUAAUAAUGAAUAAAGAGUGGUUGAACACUAAAAAAAAUACGUUCGCUAAAAAGGUUUUGCACGUACUUUUCCCUAAACAAUGCUUACUGGUACGUUCCUAAAAAGCAAAGCUUUGCAAGUAUUCCCUACACUAGUAUACUAGUAUCUGUACCAAAAUCAAGAACAUUACGUACUUCAAACAAAAAAUUCUAAAUUGUAGUACUUGAUGUUUGUUAAAAGAACUAGUGCUAAAAAUAUUUAAGAAAGAAUAAUGUGUACGAAAACCCCGUACAUGAACAUAUAUAGGAUUUUGAACUUUUUUAACCUAUGAAUAUUUUGUAUACAUCAACUUAUAUUUUUCAAAUCCAUGAAUAUUUUUAAACACGUGAACAUAUAAUUUUCUUGAACCCAUAAGCAAUUUUUUGAACCUCGUGGGCAAUUUUUUGAAUCGAUGAACCUAUUUUCUAAUCCAUGAACAUAUUUUUCGGAACCCAUGAACAUUUCUUUUGAACCCAUGAACCUUGUUCUGGAAUCCUUGAAGAUUUAUUAAUUCUGGAUUAAAAUUUUAGAACCUUGUGGACAUAUUUUUAAAACUUCAUGAACAAUUUGUAAAUAUGAAUGAAACAUUCUCCGAAUCCAUCAACACAUUAUUUUGAACCCAAGAACAAUUUUUUGAACCUCAUGAAAAAGUUUUCCAACUAUGUGAAUAUUUUUCUAAUAUGAAUGAUAAUACUUUCCAAAUCCAUGAACGUAUAUUAUGAACCCAAGAACAAAUUUUUGAACCUCAUGAACUUUUUCUAAAACUACGUGAACAAUUUUUAAAUAUGAAUGAAACAUUUUGGAAUCCAUGAACAUAUUAUUCUGAAACCAAGAACAAAAUUUUAAACCUCGUGAGCAUUUUUUAAACGACGUGAACAAAUUUUAAAUAUGAACAAAACAUUUUUAAAAUCCAUAAAAUUAUUAAUUUGAACCCAAGAAUACUUUUCUCAAACCACGUGAACACUUUUUUAACUAUGUGAACAGUCUUUAAACAAAACAUUUUCCAAAUCCAUGAACGUCUUAUCUUAAACCCAUUUUUUUUAAAAAAAAAACUCGUGUCCCUUUUUCUAGAUCGAUGAGCCUAUAUUUUAAGUCCAUGAACCUAUAUAUAUUUAAAAUGCACGGAAAAAAUUUAAUAUCAAAAAAAUAAAGGGAAAAGGAAAAUGUAAUGAAAGAAACAAAACAUAAAAAGGGAAUAGAAAAUGAAAUAAAAGAAAAAAGUAAUAGAACAGAAAAAAAGGAAAAAGAAGAAAGAAGAAACAUAACAAAACCAACGUAGAAAACCGGAACAGAAAAAUCAACCAAGCAGCGAAACUAGCGUUGCAAAAAAGAGGUACUGUGGAGUGAAAUGAGCCGGCCCAGCGGCCCAAUUAUUUAGGCGACGCGACAGUUCUGCGCUGCAUCAAAGCGGUAUAUAAGAUCUGCCAGCGUCGCCGCUUGUAGAAUCGACACAGUUGGGCUGGACUGUGUGAAUCGGGCCACAUGCAUCAUAUAGGUGGCAAUAGCUGGCCCAUUUUGCAGGGGCCUAAAUAUUUAGGCCCAUUAUGAAGCAUCCAGUCACACCGCAGGAACCAGUCUGUGUGCUGCUGCUGCGGUCUAGCUCAUGAGUUGCUGCUACAGUACGACCCAAGAUCUGGCAGCACCUGCCAAGUUACACCGGGCCAAGACUCCGCGAGAACGGUACUCCCCACCGGUCGGGAUAAAAACAAUUUCAAUGGCACGACACGCUUGCCCUCGCAAAUACUUCCUCCGUUCCUAAAUAUUUGUCUUUCUAGAGAUUUCAACAAGUGACUACAUACGAAUCAAAAUAAAUGAAUCUACACUCUAAAAUAUGUUUAUAUACAUCCAUAUGUGGUAGUCCAUUUGAAAUUUUAAAAAAGACAAAUAUUUAGGAACAGAGGGAGUAGCAACAUCUCGAUGGCGGUGCCGACAAUCACGAGACCAUCGAGCGAGACGAUGGAAAAGCUUCUGACUGCUGGUGGAAGGAAGGCCAAGAAGACACAUGGUCACCAGAUUUUAGGAGUUAACGGUAGAACGGGGCUUAUUGGACGGCACCGACGAGGAUGUGCAGCUGGCGCAGCGAGCUGAGGCAGCCGGCAGGGUAGACGCGGUUGUUGCAGAUGAUCAUGUUGACUCGCUGAUGCAAAGUUCGUGUUCCGGGCGUCAUCACCCCCGGUGAUAUUGGCUACAGGUUGGCGGUCAACGUGUUUCUAUUCCAGGAACGUAUUGCACGUACGUUGAACCGACUCAGCACAUGAAUAUGUUUGUUAGAGAAAAGGGAUAGAGCACCAGUUUAAAAUCUCUACUACUUAAAAAGAACUUCCCAUUUCAUCUUUCUUCCUACCAUCCCUUCGUCCAACUUUACAUGUAUAUGAUAAUCAAUCAUCUUAAUUUACUUAUCUUCUGAACGAAUUCCACUUUAAUCUACUUACCAAACUUCUAAUCAAAAUAUAAGAUAAUUCAUAGAUAGAAUUUGAUGAACAUUAUUUACACAAUCGUAUUAUUAUUCAUAGGUAAAUCACAAAUAAACGUACCAUAAUAUUUAUAUCCAGUUGCAACGCACACGGGCAUUGUUCUAAUGAUAACAAAAAGGUAUAAAAGGUCAUACCUAUUUGGGCACUUUAGCAAAGUGCCACAAAAGGUCAUAACUAUUGGGGCACAUUGGCAAAGUGCCAUAAAAGUCAUACCUAUUGGGGCACUUUGGCAAAGUGCCACAAAAGGUCAUAACUAUUGGGGCACAUUGGCAAAGUGCCAUAAAAGUCAAACCUAUUGGGGCACUUUGGCAAAGUGCCACAAAAAGCUUAAUAGCUAUUGAAGCACUUUGUCAAAGUGCCACAAAAGAUCAAUCUAUUUGGGAACUUUGGCAAAGUGCUAAAUGUCAUAAUUAUUGGGGCACUUUGGCAAAGUGCCCCUAAUUGGAAGCUUUUAGGGCACUUCAAAAAAAAUGCCCCAACAAAGUGCCUCUAAAUUUUGACCGUGGUGUAGUGAUAGCUCGAUCAAUGCACUCCUUCAUCGCUUAUGCCCGAGUUAUUUUUCUACGAAGCACUCCUUUAUAGAGCUUGAUAAGUUGGAGUCCUAGCUGGUGUGCUGGACUCAAUCGGCCAGCACAAAGCAACUUGAUCAUGCCAUUGGUCAUGUGUACUACCAAUCACCACCUAGCACGGGAUAUUAUUCCUCGUGUCGCGCUCCUUUCAUACAUGACGAAUCACGUGUUACACAUUAGCUACCAAUCGCCAUCUAUCCUGCUAUAAAUGGAUCUCAUGUUUCUAAGGCAGGAUAAUGGAUCUCAUGAUCAUAGUGAGUUAGGCACACGUCGCUAUAUAUGCACUGAGGAUCCAAGUGAGCUGAGGAAUAUCAUCGUGCAUUCGUGCCUGUAAGCACAUCCCCUCCCCGAUUGUUGUGGACACAAAAGAAUAUAUAAGUGAAGGUGGGUGCACUCACACUCCAGUGCGUGCUUUAUUAAAACAUGGCACUUCUAGGCGAGAUGUGUGGUGACAUGAUGCAACGGUUCACAAGGCGGCAUUCAUUAUAUUAUCACAUCAUUAUUAAUAUUAAAUGUGUUUAUGUAGUUUAUAUAAAUAUGCAAAAAUAUUUGUAACUAAUAAUCAUUUUGCCCACUUAAGAAUCACUUAAGCUUAAGCAUCUCACCGUGGUGAUUGUGUGUACCGAUGGAAUCCCUGAAAUAUAGAAAAGUGAGUAAUUACGACUAUCAGUUAUUCAAUAAAGUGGCAAGUUCUUAUCUAACUGCAUUUGUUUUAUGAAGAUGUUUGGAUGGAGGAGCAAAGGAUUUCAUUCUGAAUUAUUUUUACAUCAGUUAUUGAUUCUGCUAAUACAUAUUCUACCUCACAUCACCCCGUCAGAAACAAGUUUGUUUUAGGUAGCCCAUGUACUCAAACAAGUUCCCCCCAAAAAAUCCCCACAAAAAAAAAUAAGUUCCAAAAUCCCGGGUUCGCUUUUCCUGACAGAAAAUUGAGUGCGUUUUCACUGAAGUUGUGCUUGUGCUCAAUCAAUCUUCAGCUGUGUAGACUUCACUCAACCUGGUUCGCAGAGGCUGUUCAUGUGAAGACUGCACUUCAUGUGUUCGGUUCUUGAGUGUGAUGCUUCCGUCGAGUACAUCCAUGAAAUGAAUUAUUUUACUUCCGUGUUCUACUCCCGUUUCAGUCUUUUACGAUGCUAUAAAACAGGAUCACAAGCAUUGAAUAUACAUAUAUUGUAAAACAAAAAUCGGAGAUACAUGAGCACGUCCUCAUGAUUUUGCUGUGCCGCUUCAGCAGAAUAGAAGUGCAUCUGACAAACGAAAGAAGGUAGUAAGAAUAUCAUCACUACUUCCACAACUUCAUAUGUCAAAAUGAUUUUCCAACCAAUUGCAUGCAUCUUCCAGAAAAAAACAACAAUGAUUACAUGCAUAUGUACCGGCUCUGCACUUAUGCAGAACACACAAUCUUCCGGCCCAAUGAGGACAUGAAUAGGCCGUCCAAGUCGGCAAGCUAGCUCCAAGCAUCGUGACACACGGUGUCAGGCGGCUCAGGCGUCGCCUUCACGGUCGUCGCUGGAGUAGUGGAGGCGCAGCGCCGGCGCACGCGGGUAGUGGAAGACGGCCUAGUUGGUGGCACGCGGCAACCCACUCGCGGUAGACCGGCCCGCAGGUAGCUUCCCUCGCAGACCCGGCGAUCCCAUGGGUUGUUUGGGUCGUGCAGAUAGCAUGGAGAUCGGAGUUCUCUUUGGCCACUCCAUCCAUGUCGACAGACAGCAGAGCGGAAUAAUAUAGUUUGUUUUGGGAUGCACGGAAUAAUAUACAAACAAAACAGGAUGAAACAAGAAAUUCCACCCACAUUUAUUUCUGAUUGUUAUUACAAAUUAAAAAGACUUGACUGACAUAUCAACGUUCUCAUACAUAGAAAAACAGGACACACUCACAUGACACACACAAGCAAAAAAAAAAAAGCAAGCAAGGAGCACGUGGACAUCGACCGCUUGAAACCAACAUGCAAGAAACACACAUAUCCGACGAACUAGAGAUCUUGCAUGCACGAAGAGACCUC